rnacentral:rRNA from 1 species
AUUGAACGCUGGCGGCAUGCCUUACACAUGCAAGUCGAACGGUAACAGCACUUCGGUGGCUGACGAGUGGCGAACGGGUGAGUAAUACAUCGGAACGUGCCCGAGAGUGGGGGAUAACGCAGCGAAAGCUGUGCUAAUACCGCAUACGAUCUACGGAUGAAAGCAGGGGAUUCGCAAGGACCUUGCGCUCAUGGAGCGGCCGAUGGCAGAUUAGGUAGUUGGUGGGAUAAAAGCUUACCAAGCCGACGAUCUGUAGCUGGUCUGAGAGGACGACCAGCCACACUGGGACUGAGACACGGCCCAGACUCCUACGGGAGGCAGCAGUGGGGAAUUUUGGACAAUGGGCGAAAGCCUGAUCCAGCCAUGCCGCGUGCAGGAUGAAGGCCUUC